UACGGAGGGGGCAAGCGUUAUUCGGAAUCAUUGGGCGUAAAGGGCGCGUAGGCGGCUUGGCAAGUCAAAGGUGAAAUCCCUCGGCCUAACCGAGGAACUGCCUUUGAAACUGCUUGGCUUGAGGCCGGGAGAGGGUAGCGGAAUUCCCAGUGUAGCGGUGAAAUGCGCAGAUAUCAGGAGGAACACCGGUGGCGAAGGCGGGUCUCUGGGCCGAUACUGACGCUGAGGAGCGAAAGCGUGGGGAGCGAACAGG
rnacentral:rRNA from 1 species